GGGCUGAAGAUUUUGAAAAGGAGAGACACAGAAUUAUAUUUUAGAGAUCAUAACUUGACAGCCUUUUGCUAAAGCAGUUGGAGGAGUUGCAACAGUGAAGCCAGCUGACAUUACUCUCUACCAAGAGAGGAGAAGGAAGGACCAAAAUGUCUUUAGAUUUAUUUAUCUAUUUUCGUGGUACUGAGAAUUAAACCCAGAGCCUGUGCAUGCUAGACAAGUGCUUUACUACUGAGUUUACCUCAAUCCUUUCUAUUUUUGAUUUUGAGACAUGGUUUCAUUGAGUUGUUGAGGCCAUCUUCAAACUUGUAAUCUUCCUGCCUCAGCCUCCCAAGUUGCUGGGAUUACAGGAGUGAUUACAGGUGUCCACUGCACCCAAUUUUAUCUUUAUUUUUUGCAGGAUUAGGGAUUGAAACUAGGGCCUCGCCAGGAUAGGCAAGUGUUUUACCACUAAGCUGCAUCCCCAGCCCUUCUGUGGGUUAAUUUUUAAAUUAAGUUUUAUUUGAAAAAUAUUUGAAAAUAUGUAUACAUAUUUUUAAAAAACUAAUGCUAUUUUUUAAAUACUAGAAAGCAGAAAUAAAUAAAUAAGAUUAUAUCUUCCUCUCUUCCUAAUCCAUUCCCUGAGGAAAUCACUGAGUGAGUUUGAUUCAGUAAUGUUUCAAAAUAUACUUGUUUAUAAGAGACAGUGGCUGAAUUUUUCAGAAUUGUGCAUGUCAGUUAACACUGCUUUAAUUAAAAAUUCAAUGACAUAAAUUUACAACUAAAUAAAUUAUAUUAAGGCAAAGGUGAUAAAUACUAAAAACUCAUCACUUCCUGAUCAUUUUAGUAUAUUUUGCUUUUAUCUCUUGAGGCCAUUUUCAUGUAUAGGAUCUGUACGGUGAAAAUGCUAUCUAUUGAGGUGCACAUCUCUUCCCAACUGUGUUCAGUGAUGUCACAUUUGAAACUCCAUUGCUGGGAAUAGCACACAACGGAAAUAGGUGAACAUUACAAAUCAGUGCUGUUUUGUUCUGGGGAGCUUUGUUAAACAUUUACCAGCAUGCCCCUGGUGCAUAGCCUUGCCAACUGUCCCCUUUUUUAUGCCUGUAAGUAUAUG
rnacentral:lncRNA from 1 species